GGAAUAUUCCACAAUGGGCGAAAGCCUGAUGGAGCGACGCCGCGUGAGUGAAGAAGGGCUUCGGCUCGUAAAGCUCUUUUCUUCGGGACGAAUGGUCUAUUAGAUAGACAGGGACGGUACCGAGGGAAUAAGCCACGGCUAACUACGUGCCAGCAGCCGCGGUAAUACGUAGGUGGCAAGCGUUGUCCGGAAUUAUUGGGCGUAAAGGGAGCGCAGGCGGGAUGGUAAGUCCAAAUUAAAAGUGCAGGAGUAAUGCCUGUGAUGGUUUGGAAACUAGCGUUCUUGAGAGCAGGAGAGGAAAGCGGAAUUCCGAGUGUAGCGGUGAAAUGCGUAGAUAUUGGGAGGAACACCAGUGGCGAAGGCGGCUUGCUGGACUGUGUCUGACGCUGAGGCUCGAAAGCCAGGGUAGCGAACG
rnacentral:rRNA from 1 species